rnacentral:lncRNA from 1 species
CCAAGUCUUGGCUAAAGGAGAGACAAGUUAAUAAUCAGAUCAAGGCUGGUUGAGACGGAUCUUUAUGCCAAGUGAUGAAAAGGUUUGUUUGGGGACUAUUUGGUGUUUGAGACGACACUUCCUCCAUCAGUUUUGCAGUAAGGUAAAGGGACCCCUGACCGUUAGGUCCAGUUGCAGACGACUCUAGGGUUGCAGCGCUCAUCUCGCUUUACUGGCCGAGGGAGCCGGCGUACAGCUUACGGGUCAUGUGGCCAGCAUGACUAAGCCGCUUCUGGCGAACCAGAGCAGCACACGGAAACGCCGUUUACCUUCCCGCCUAUUUAUCUACUUGCACUUUGACAUGCUUUCGAACUGCUAGGUUGGCAGGAGCAGGGACCGAGCAACGGGAGCUCACCCCGUACACACUACUACUACUACUACUACUAUUUCUGACCGGGCACUGUUUCCGACUGCAGUAUUCUGGCUAUGUCUGGAUGCAUGGAACCUCUACCAUAGCCACAGCCUUUAAUUCAAUUUUAAAAAUAAGCAUCUCUCCUCCCAGGCUUCUGCCUGCAGCCUGCUUCUGUCUCAGCUCUCUUAUCACAUAGACCUUAACUUUUGUCUUUCUAACUACCACCCAGUUCAAGGAUGGAGGCCAACUUAUUUGUCCUCUGGCACAAAACCACUUCAUUUGUUACCCUAAUGACCCAUACUUAGGGGCCCUUGAAUUGAAUCCUCCAUUUGAUUUUAACCCUUGCUGGAUCCAGGAAUUAGAAGAGAUUCAGGCAUACAGGUGACCCUCCCCACACUCCUCAACUCACAAUAUUAUUAUGGCACAGCCAUAAGGAUUUUAUGAAAUACAGUGGUGCCUCGCAAGAUGAAUGCCUCGCAAGACGAAAAACGCGCAAGACGAAAGAGUUUUCCGUUUUUUGAGUCGUUCCGCAAGACGAAUUUCCCUGUGGGCAAGACGAAACGUCUUGCGAGUUCUUGCGAGUUUGUUUCCUUUUUCUUAAAGCCGCUAAGCCGUUAAUAGCCACUAAGCCGCUAAGCCAUUAAUAGCCGCUAAGCCGCUAAUAGCCGCUAAGCCGCUAAUAGCCGUGCUUUGCAAGACGAAAACCGCAAGACGAAGAGACUCGCGGAACGGAUUAAUUUCGUCUUGCGAGGCACCACACUACAGAUUAAAUGAUUAUCAGGUUUGGGCCUCAAGAUGGCGUUGCUGCCUUGUACAUACUGGAGUAAUAAUUAUUAAUACUGGAUUAAUAAAACACAUCUACUAAAGGUGGUUGUGUGUGUGUGUGUGUGUGUGUGUGUGUGUGUGUGUAAAUCCAAAUGUAUGGCAAGACAUGUCGGAGGUGUAGAUUCUGGUGAAUUUCCUUUGCAAAACAAGCUCAACAACAUUUGUGUCCAGAUUUUCACUUUUUGAAGUAUGGCAUGAUAAAACUCACAAAACUGAUGGUGCACGGACACUAUAAAAACUGGUGAGAUUACGUUUUGAUUGUGUCUCUAGAUCUGUAUAUGCUCCAUACUUUUGUAAUUUCCAGAAUCUAGUUCUUGAAAUAAUUUGGCUUGUAGGGGUCAACUGAAGAGAUUCAUGAUCUCACUAGAUGCUGCUCACAUAUGUUGAAUCUUUAUCUAACCUCUUAGAGCACCACGAUUUAGAAGAAGAAUUUGUAGAAAUCGCAUAUAUUAUCACCUGUGUGUACCUCAUGCUUCCAUUUCUAAGGGGCAAGACUACAUAUUGCUAUUAUUGAGAAUCCUUUUGUUUUACCCCACACUUUCCCUGUCCGUAAUCCUAAACCCAGUACCCCUCCCAGUUAUGACUCUUGAGACAAUUUCACUGACUUUUUAUUUAUAACCUAUGCCUACUCUAAGACGUCAUGAUUCUGAUGGUACCACGUAAGAUAUAACUGACCUGCCUAUUAUAUUGGCCAGAGUGGGAUGUGUUCAUAGAAAAGAAAACACACAAUGCUCGCGAACCUGCAGAAGGUCAAUUAAUUUCAAAUUUUAUUUGUCGCUUAGAAAAAGAAGAGCAAUCAUUGAUUAGCACUGGGAACCACCUGUCUGCAAGUAGCUACUGACAAAGAUGUUGUCAGGUGGAAAAGUACUGGAAAUAUAUCUAAGCUUUUAGCAAGCAUCUGUAUAUGUGGCUAUAGAACUAAAUAUACAAAAUAUACAUACAGUGGUGCCUCGCAAGACAAAUGCCUCGCAAGACGAAAAACGUGCAAGACGAAAGAGUUUUCCAUUUUCUGAGUCGUUCCGCAAGACGAAUUUCCCUAUGGGCUUGCUUCACAAGACGAAACGUCUUGCGAGUUCUUGCGAGUUUGUUUCCUUUUUCUUAAAGCCGCUAAGCCGUUAAUAGCCGCUGAGCCGCUGAGCUGCUAAUAGCCGUGCUUCGCAAGACGAAAAAACCGCAAGACGAAGAGACUCGCGGAACGGAUUAAUUUCGUCUUGCGAGGCACCACUGUAUGCAAUAUACAUAUACAAAUAUACUAAAUAUACUAAAUAAACAAGAUGUCACAAAGCUAAGGUAUUUGACACAGAACAACAGCGCAGGGAGUUAUUAGAGAGCUGUAGCUGGUAGCAAAGUGACAAUUUCCUUGAGCAUCGUACAAAGAACUUGAACUGCUGACAACGCAAACACAGGAGUGUCUAACCACAGACCCAGUUAUGCUAUUAUAUAGUACUUUUUGUGUCUACUUAGCAGUUUGUAUAUUGGACUAUGUGCCCUACAUUUACAGCUUGGACAGGAGAAAGGGAAUCUGAUUUAUUUUUAGAAAUCCCAACAAAUGCUCUUUCUUUCUUUUUCUUAUUCAUCAGAGUUAACCUGCAUCUCUCUCUCUCUCUUUACAGUAUUCAACAAUCAAGAACACACAUUCUUGCAGUGUAAUAAUAACAUUGUAAGAUCAGUGAAUGGCUUGCUAGCACAGGUGAAAAGUAUUUAAACAGCCAAUUGCUGAUUAAUGUAAUGAUUUAAUCUAGCCUUCCUUCUCUUGAUGUGUGGGUUCAUACUUUCUUAUCUUCAGAUAAGGAAUAAACUUGUAUGCUGUAAGACUUGAGCAUCACUGAGUUCCUCAACAGAACCUCUUGAGUACCAGAUUUCACACACACACACACACACACACACACACACACACACACACAAUAAAAGAAGUGGGGGAGUAUGGCAAAAAUAAAAAUGGGGUUGUGCGAAUUAGCGUUAAAACUCGUAACCAAAACCAAAUGAGGCUUUUGCAAAAACUGCAAUUAAAGCAGUAAAGGAAAUACGGAAAAUAUAGGAGCUUAUUUGCUAAUAUUAGAAGACAGAGGAGGUGUGCUUGGUUUUAAAAAGAAAUAAUAUAAAUAGUGAGCAAAACAGAAACAAGUUGGAAUGGAGGAAGAGAAAUUAAUUAUCCAAAGAUAUAGACCCUAUAGAAUAAAGGACAGAAAGGGGUGCAUGGUUUCUGUGUUGCAAUGGCCCAUCCACACUGUACAUUUAAAGCAGUAUUCCCCAAAGAAUUCUGGGAGUUGUAGUUUCAAUUCAUUUUCCCAAUGAAUCCUGGGAGUUGUAGUUUGUUAAAGGCACUGGCAGAAAGUUGUUAGGAGAGCUCCCUCACAGAACUACAAUUACCAGAAUGGUUUAGCAAUUCCUCUUUUAAUGGAACUCAGAGAACUGUAGUUUUGUGAGGAGAAUAUGACUCUCCAAACAAACUACAGUUCCCAGGGUUCAUUGGGGGGGGAGCUAUGAUUGUUUCUGACGGUAUGAAACAAUACUGUUUUAAAUGUAUAGAACAGAUGGAGCCUCUGUAUGUGAGACGGGGGCAAAAUGGCACAUGUGGUUCUGUGUUAAGAACAUGUAAAUUACGUACCCUGGGGCAAAAACAUGUCAGGAAUGUUUGUAAAAUUAAGAGAAAAACGUUUCCUUCUGUGUGUACACAAUUACCAAGCAAACCUUUAUCGGGGCCUCAUAGUUCAGAUUAGGGGUUUUCCGACCUCUCCUCCCAGACCCUCCAAGUGACCUUAUUUUUCAGGGACAGUCCUGGAUUUACAGAAGCCGUCCUGGUUUCUGAUUUGAUCUGGAAUGUCCCAAUUUCCCUUAAAAAGCUAAAGGGACCCCUGACCGUUAGGUCCAGUCGCGGAUGACACUGGGGUUGCGGCGCUCAUCUCGCUUUAUUGGCCGAGGGAGUCGGCGUACAGCUUCCGGGUCAUGUGGCC